CACGUGGCCGCAGGAGGAUUUACAACAUUUUCUUUCGCCAUCGAUGUUAUCGCAAAAUGUGUGAGAGAAGCGGCUGCGCAGCCCGGACGGGAGCGUGAGGGCGCGGGCCAGGUAAGCAGCCCCGGCGGUUUCGCCGCGUUACGGGACUGCGGGGCGACCGCGGGCACCAGCCACGCGCAGCGGCUCCGCGGGGUCUCGGCCGGGUCCGCGCUCUGAAGGAUCUCGAGAGCCAUGGGUGGUGCAGGCGGGACCCUCGAGCUGCAGCAUCUCCGGUGACCCGGGGUUGCCGAGGAGGUGGAGACCAGCACAGGUGGUCCGGCCCGGGCGCCUCCGAAUCCGGGGGUGGUCAAGACGGAUCCCCAAGGCUGAGGUCGGCAGUCCCGGGGACUCGCAGCUGUUGAGCCUGUGGAGACGCGGCCCCGUGACCGAGGCACCCUUCAGCAACCCGGGGGCAGCGUUUUCCCCCUACCGGAAAUCUGAUGGGCUUAUGACAUCAUGGCUGGCUGCUGAGCGAUGAAGUGGAUGCCACAAAGAAAUCCGACAUAUCAGAUAGAUUCUGAAAUCGGUUUCCCUCCAGCUGUAGUAACAGGCGUGAAGUCAGGAGAAUUUGAGCUUUGUUUAAAAAAUAAAUAAAUAAAUAAAUAAACCAUAACAAAGUCUUGCCCUGUAUUAAAUGCAAUUUUCUUAAAAACAAGCAAACCUUUUGGACAUCAUUUUAUUUUAAUAGAAAUGCUGAGUUUUAUGAAACUAAAGUGGCUAAUAAAUCAGACCUGAAGCUUUG
rnacentral:lncRNA from 1 species